rnacentral:tRNA from 1 species
CCACCUUGUAUAGUGGUUAUGGCACUCGGCUUGUAAUCGAGUGGCUCGGGUUUGAAUCCCGAAUAAGGUAUGGA